rnacentral:snRNA from 1 species
AUCGUUGCACAGUGGCAGUAUCGUAGCCAAUGAGGUUUAUCCAAGGCAUGAUUAUUGCUAAUUGAUUAAUGAUGAUCUAUUUUACAGCUUGGUUUCUAGGAUAUAGUUCAGAGAAAAGCUGGGACUGUCUAUGUUG